UGACAAUGCAAUCAUUUGACUUAGAAUC
rnacentral:piRNA from 1 species